CCCUGCACCAGCUGAGUGAUGAGGUCAGAAAAUAAAUCUGGUUAAAUUGAUCUGAAAAUACUAUGCUAUCUAGUGGGGAUGUGAGUUUUUAAAAGGCCUACAAGACUAGAAUAGUAAACCAGCAUGAGUCAUGCACAGCUGAAAAGACUAGUGCCUCUGCUGCCUUUUCAGCUAGACUAUCAAAUACUAAUAACCUCCAUGUAGGACUGACCUCCUCUGAUGAAUAGUGUGCAAUAAUAACAUGUGGACCAAGUUAACAAAAAUGGCCAUAAUUGUAGUUAAAAAUGGCCAUAUAUAUGAUAAAAAUGAUCUCCCGUGAGGGUUUGUUUGCACAUCUGAAUAUUCUGAUACUGACUUUUUUUCUCCUGUUGUUUUAGGCAGUAAUGCCUAAUUCAAGGAAACCCGGAGACAGGUACAGAAAACAUACUAAGAACACAGGAACCUCUGGAUCCAGGAAAGGUGACUGAGUCCACAAUGCCUCCAACAGACCUGAAGAUAAAUCACAAGACAACGGAACGUCACUGUCUCUUAUUUGGUGUCCUAUGGCUGAAAAUGUGCAGUGUUUCUGAUGUAUGUCUUUAUGGGGGCAUUUUAGGGUAAAGAGAAUUGUGUAAGUUAGGACUUCCCUGACAGAGACAUGAUCUAGAAUCAGAAUCCUCGGAACUUCUCAUCUCUAUGGUUAACUCACGCCCAAGUCCCUGGAGGGCACAGACACAGCCCUGAGGAUUUGUCUGCGGGGGCCCUCAGCACCCUUGAGGGUUUACAUUAGUGAGACAAAUGGCGAAUUCACUGCAGCCAAAUGUUGCACAUUUCAUGAUGAAAGAUAAGUUUCCCCAGACUGGGCUUCAUUUAUUUCUCCUGCAGUGAAAUAUGUGUGGAUUUGUAUUUUUUCAUUACUACAUAAAUACAAGCAGUUUAUGAAAUGCUGAAGGAAUUAUCAAAGUUAAAUCUCCCAUUCUAUGGCUAUGAAAAGAAUUUCCUUGUUGUUUCUUGCUUCAUAAAAACACAAGCCAUGAUCUAAUGAUUUAAUGAAAAAAAUCUAUUUUGUUUAAAAAGUGAAAUUAGAAUUUGGCACAUCUGCUCAGUACCUCAGGGGGAGUUAAACCCUUGCUUUCUGAAAAUAAAGGGUACUGUAGAAAUGUGUACCACCAAUUGUCCCAGGUUAUUGAUUAGUAAUGCAGAUGGCACUGGAUCAUAACAUCAAAGUUGUUGUUUUGGUUCAGAUCAUUGUACUAUGCAUUUCCAGGCUAGCAGACAAUUCAUUUGUAUUUUCACACAUCCCAAUACUUAAAUGUCCACUCGAUGCCGGCCACUAUGGAGGAGCUGGGAAUACAGUGGUAAACAAGAGUGCUGGAGCCCAGGGAGCUUGCUAUGAUACAUACCACUACCAUGGUCCCAGUAAUUCCUGCCAGGUGGCAUUCAUGCCCUUGUGUAAUCUCCUCAUCCUUUUGUGCACAUGGAAAGGACCUAAUGACUGUUUUCUAACAGAAUUUGACAAGAAUUCUGGAAUGUCAUUUUCCAGAUUAGGUUACCAGGAGACUGUGGCUUCUUUCUUGGGUGCCCUCUCUUCGCUCUGUCCCAUUUGCUCUGCAAGAAGGCCUGUCAUAUUGUGAGCUGCCUGAGAGAGGCCCACAGUGGGAGAAACCAAUACGCCCAAGGACCAUCAAGAACCAACAGCCAAUGAGUGGACUUGGGGCAGGACACGCUGGGAAGAAGUUUUGAUACAAGAGAAAGAAACAAUCCUCAGACAAAAACAUACCUGGUUCCUUACCAUGUAGAUCAAUUAGAGCAACUUAACUGAA